GGGGGCGACAGGUGUCGACGGGGACAGUUGAAACCCGUGGUUGCGCGCCGGGGUGCGGUUCGCCCGAAAAACAACCGCAAAAACAUAAGCGCCAACUCAUACGAGUACGCUUUAGCCGCAUAAGCGGCUACGCCCUUCUGAUCUCGCCCGAUGGGGUUAGAAAGGGCGUCAUAAACAUCGGGCUGGUCUUUGGCUCUCUGCCGAUUGGAGCUUGAGACGAGAACAAUUAUCGGCUGGCUCUUGAAGGUCCUUUCCGCGGGAGCUUUGGGAGCGAGAAAACAAACACGGAAUACGCGCGUAGGAGCUAUGGGUGGAAGGUCUUCGGACCCGGGUUCAAUUCCCGGCGCCUCCACCA
rnacentral:tmRNA from 1 species